GCAUAUCAAGUAUUAAAGGCACUGCCUGCCCAGUGACAUCUGUUCAACGGCCGCGGUAUCCUGACCGUGCAAAGGUAGCAUAAUCACUUGUUCCCUAAAUAGGGACUUGUAUGAACGGCCACACGAGGGUUUUACUGUCUCUUACUUCCAAUCCGUGAAAUUGACCUUCCCGUGAAGAGGCGGGAAUGCCCUAAUAAGACGAGAAGACCCUAUGGAGCUUCAAUUAACUAGCCCAACGAGAACAAACUUCAACCCACCCGGACAUAACCAUUCUUCCCCUGGGCUAACAAUUUAGGUUGGGGUGACCUCGGAGCAUAAAAAACCCUCCGAGUGAUAAAAGCCCAAACUGACAAGUCAAAGCACUAUAUCACUUAUUGAUCCAAAUUUUGAUCAACGGAACAAGUUACCCUAGGGAUAACAGCGCAAUCCUAUUUAAGAGUCCAUAUCGACAAUAGGGUUUACGACCUCGAUGUUGGAUCAGGACAUCCCAAUGGUGCAGAAGCUAUUAACGGUUCGUUUGUUCCACGAUUAAAGUCCU
rnacentral:rRNA from 1 species